GAAAAACUCCAUUAUUUAUACUUGACUAGUUCGGAGUUAAAUCUAAGAUAAUAAAUGGAUUUAGUCCAACUAAAAAAACUUGAUUUGAUCUAAAUAAGAACAAGCUGAAAAUUGGUUUGAUUGUUUAGGUUUCAAUUUUAAAAUUUCUUGAACCAAACCAUUCCAAAUUUGAAUGCACGGUUUGGUUACACGGCCCCUAAAUGAUAUCAUACACGAAACUGUUGAAAAAGUUUAGAAUAUGGGAAUCUUCUAGAUUGCCUGUAAAAUGUGGAAUUUUAUAAAUGUGUUGUCCAAUGGGAUGGACAGGCUCUGAAAUCACCAAAUCAUCUUUCCAUGUGAAGCUUUCAAUUAUCCACUUUUAUUUUACUUUAUUGGUUGAAGGCAGUAUGGCAGAAUACAUAAAUUAGCCCUUGAAUUAUUUGGGAAAAGUCUGAUGCAACCUUGAACUUUUAUUUCAACUCAUUACACCCCUGACAUUUUAUUUUUGACUUAUUGCUCCAUUCAAUUUUUGUUUUUGUAUUUAAUAGACAAUUUUUGGAAUUCAUCUAUGAAAAGUGAUUAAAUAUGUCACUUGAAAUGUAUCUCUUUUAUGACGCCUACUCUAUAAUGGAUUAGACUUAAUGUUGUAUUCAAUUAUUUAUUAUUGAUUUGAGGAAUUUGUGCUUUUUUGUUAUAAAAACAGGGUGCAAUAUGUCAAAAAAUAAAAAGGCAGGGGUGCUGUGGGUCAAAAUAAAAGAUAGGGAGUGAACUAGCCUUUUCCCAAAUAGUUCAGGGCCUAAUUUAUGUACUAGGCCAAGGCAAUAGAGUUGUCCAAUUGCAUUUAUCAUCUUUAUAAAUAAUCCUAACAUUUUGUUGCUUUUCAUUGCGAGGAGAUAAUUCUACUUCACAUAAUUCAUAGUUUCAUAUAAAAGUAAAUUUUUGUGCCUGAAUUUGUUUUAUGAACUGAUAUAGUUUCAUGGUUGUCUUUUUUCACUUCUAAUAAGUGUAUUGAUGCUUGGAAAGAAACAUUGAAAUUAUUUCCCUUUCAGGAUUGAAGAGGUUGCCUUCAGC
rnacentral:misc_RNA from 1 species